GAUUCUCCUGCCUCAGCCUCCCAAGUAGCUGGGACUACAGGUGUGCGCCACUAUGCCCAGCUAAUUUUUGUAUUUUUAGUAGAGACAGGGUUUCACCAUCUUGGCCAGGCUGGUCUCGAACUCCUGACCUCGUGAUCCACCCACCUCGGCCUCCCAAAGUGCUGGGAUUACAGGUGUGAGCCACCACACCUGGCAAAAUUAGGAAACUUUUUAAUCAGUGUUGGCCAUAUUAUUGAUUUCUCCUCCCAAGAGAAAUCAGCAACGUACAAUAGGAAAAAAAAUGCCUAUGGCUGGGCACAGUGGCUCACACCUGUAAUCCCAGCACUUUGGGAGGCCAAGGCGUGCAGAUCAUUUGAGGCCAGGAGUUCAAGACCAGCCUGGCCAACAUGGUGAAACCCUGUCUCUACUUAAAAAAUACAAAAAUUUCCAGGCGUGGUGGCUCACGCCUGUAAUCCCAGCACUUUGGGAGGCCAAGGCAGGCAAAUCACCUGAGGUCAGGAGUUCGGGAUCAGCCUGGCCAACAUGGUGAAACCUCAUCGCUACAAAAUACAAAAAAAUUAGCUGGGCGUGGCAGUGUGUGCCUGUAGUCCCAGCUACUCGGGAGGCUGAGGCAGGAGAGUCACUUGAACCUGGGAGGCAGAGGUUGCAGUGAGCCGAGAUCCUGCCACUGCACUCCAUCCUGAGUGACAGAGUGAGACUCCAUCUGAAAAAAAAGAAAAAAGAAAAAAUGCCCAUGUCGACUGGGCACGAUGGCUCAUGCCUGUAAUCUUAGCACUUUGGCAGAUGGAUAGCUUGAGCUCAGGAGUUCAAGACCAGCCUGGGAAAUAUGACGAAACCCUGUCUCUACCAAAAAUACAAAAAUUAGCUGGGCGUGGUGCAGUACGCCUGUGGUCCCAGCUACUUGGGAGGCUGAGAUGGGAGGAUCGCUUGAGCCCAGGAGAUCAAGGCUGCAAUGAGCUAUAAUCAUGCCACUGCACUCCAGCCUGGGAGACAUAGUGAGACCCUGUCUCAAAAAUAAAUAAAUAAAUAAAUAAAUAAAUAAAUAAAUAAAUAAAUAAAUAAAAUAAAAAUUUUUAAAAAAGCCUGUGCCUAAUUUGAAAGAAAUUUAUAAAUUUUAAGUUUUUAGUCAGGGAAGUGGAAAUGAACUGUCGUAAAAUGGGAGGUUUUAUAUUUAUUUUUGUUCCUAGUUACUAAGACAAGAAUGCUAUUCAAAGAAAGUGAAUGAAUAGAAAAUGGGAGACACUAUAAUAGUAUAACAUCAAGAAUGCUUAAAAAAACAGUCUCAGAAUUGUUCUUUGUACACAAAAACAAUGGUGCUUAACAAUAUAUUGGUUCCUAAAUCAAAUUUCCAGCUGCCAGCAGCCACCCUUGAGUGGGAGGUGAUUUAGUGCGAGCAAGUUGGUUGCAGCAUGCCUCCUGCUUCCCAGGCACCGAACCCACUGGUAGCAGAGCUAGAGGACUGUUGAGCACUUGGAUCCAACAUCCUACUGCUCAUAGUGCCAUAAAACCAUGAACUAAACCUUUUAAUUAUUAGAGAACAAUGAUCCGUAAGGCAAAAUCGGUGUUCUUCCAGAUGGUAUUACUUGGGGCCUCCACUGCUGCUUGCUCCUGCCCUCUGGUUGCUUAGAUCUUGGGGAGCCUCGUUAGAUGGGGCAAAGCCUGCAUGAUCUGACAGCCUCAGUGAGCAGACCAGAAUCGCAGGGGAGAAUAUGGGACAACAUGUUCUACAAUGAAAAUACUUUUAGAAAACAAGUGAAACUUAGGAGUGCUAAUUUAGUAAAAUGGCUGUCAAGAUCUGGCAGACUGCCUUACAUCAUGGCUCAUGCCUGUAAUCCCAGCUUUUUGGGAGGCCGAGGUUUGCUUGCUUAAGCCCAGGAAUUCAAGACCAGCUUGGAUGACAUAGUGAGACCUCCAUCUCCACAAAAAAUAAAAAAUUAGCUGGGCAUGUUGGCACACCUGUAGUCCCAGCUACUCGGGAGGCUGAAGUAGGAGGAUCAAUCAAGCCCGGGAGGUUGAGACUGCAGUGAGUUGUGAUUGCACUGCUGCCCUCCAGCCUGGGUGACAGUGAGACCUUCUUUCAAAGAAAAAAAAAAAAAAAAGAUCUGGUAGACUGAGUUAGAUUAUUAGGAUUUCUAAAGAUAUAUUUGAAAUCAAAUGAUAAAAUCCUAUGAGUUGCUCAAUAUUUUACAUUUUAAUAAGAUUGGAGAUUUUUCAAAUUAUAAAAUAUUUUCUUCAUGUCUGUGAUAUUUUCACUCAGCCUUAAAAUCAGUACAAAAGAACUCUCAUCCAAAUUAAAAUCACUGGAUAACCUUAAACUUUCCCGUCUUGUCUCCUGAUAACCUCCUGUUUAUUCUUUAAAAAUCAGUAUAAGCCUAAUUUUCCUCUAUGGAAAUUUUAAUGAAUUUUUCCUGUAGGUAAAGUUAUUUUUGCCUUCCUUGAUGCCCAAAUUCUAUCUGUCCUAGCUCAAUGGAUUCAAUAUUUAUUGAAUUACCCAGCAUGUGUGAACCAAUUACAAAAUUGAAGACAUGGGUAUUGCUAUAGUUUGAAUGUCCCCUUCAAAACUCAUGCUGAAACUUAACCUUCCAUGUGGCAGUAUUGAGAGGUAGGGACUUUAAGAGGAUUAAUAAAUUCAUUGAUUAAUGGAUUAAUGGCUUCAUGGAUUAAUAGGUUAUCAUGGGAGAGAAACUAAUGGUUUUAUAACAAAAGGAAAACAGACCUAGCUAGCAUGUGAGCACACUCACCCCCUUCACCAUGUGAUGCCCUGCACCACCUCA
rnacentral:lncRNA from 10 species